UACGGAGGGUGCGAGCGUUAAUCGGAAUUACUGGGCGUAAAGGGUGCGUAGGUGGUUUAAUAAGUUAUCUGUAAAAGCCCUGGGCUCAACCUGGGAAGGUCAGAUGAUACUGUUAGACUCGAGUAUGGGAGAGGGUAGUGGAAUUUCCGGUGUAGCGGUGAAAUGCGUAGAGAUCGGAAGGAACACCAGUGGCGAAGGCGGCUACCUGGCCUAAUACUGACACUGAGGCACGAAAGCGUGGGGAGCAAACAGG
rnacentral:rRNA from 1 species